rnacentral:rRNA from 1 species
CUUUCAACAACGGAUCUCUUGGUUCCAGCAUCGAUGAAGAACGCAGCGAAAUGCGAUAAUUAAUGUGAAUUGCAGAAUUCAGUGAAUCAUCGAGUCUUUGAACGCACAUUGCGCCCCUCGGUAUUCCGGGGGGCAUGCCUGUUCGAGCGUUAUU